rnacentral:rRNA from 1 species
UGAGUUUGAUCAUGGCUCAGGAUGAACGCUAGCGAUAGGCCUAACACAUGCAAGUCGAGGGGCAGCACAUGAGUAGCAAUACGAUGGUGGCGACCGGCGCACGGGUGAGUAACACGUAUGCAACCUACCUCUAACAGGGGGAUAACCCGUUGAAAGACGGACUAAUACCCCAUAAUACAGGGGCUCCGCAUGGAGAUAUUUGUUAAAGAUUUUAUCGGUUAGAGAUGGGCAUGCGUUCCAUUAGCUAGUUGGUGAGGUAACGGCUCACCAAGGCGACGAUGGAUAGGGGAACUGAGAGGUUUAUCCCCCACACUGGAACUGAGACACGGUCCAGACUCCUACGGGAGGCAGCAGUGAGGAAUAUUGGUCAAUGGAGGCAACUCUGAACCAGCCAAGUAGCGUGAAGGAUGAAGGUCUUAUGGAUUGUAAACUUCUUUUGCAGGGGAAUAAAUAGCGGUACGUGUACCGUUUUGCAUGUACCCUGCGAAUAAGGAUCGGCUAACUCCGUGCCAGCAGCCGCGGUAA